CCCUUAGAUGUUCUGGGCCGCACGCGCGCUACACUGAUGCAUUCAACGAGUUUCUUCCUGGUCCGAGAGGAAUGGGUAACCUUUUGAAAGUGCAUCGUGAUAGGGAUAGACUAUUGCAAUUAUUGGUCUUCAACGAGGAAUUCCUAGUAGACGUAGUUCAUCAGACUGCAUCGAUUACGUCCCUGCCCUUUGUACACACCGCCCGUCGCUACUACCGAUUGGAUGGUUUAGUGAGAUCCUCGGAUUGGUCACGGCACGGUGGCAACACUGCGUCGGUGUGCCGAGAAGACGAUCAAACUUGAUCAUCUAGAGGAAGUAAAAGUCGUAACA
rnacentral:rRNA from 1 species